CUCGAGAAGUAGAACCCUGUGAAAAUGGUUCUACCUGUUCCAAGUUCUAACCUGAGCCUGGGCGUUCAACUUGGGAAAUGGAUUAGCUCUAUUAUCAUUCCACUGAACCUGUUUUUAAGCUUUUUAGCUUUUAUUCUUAUGUACGUGCCUUCCUGCAUGUCUAUGUAUGGAGAAGUACAUAAGUUCUCAGGGGUUCAGGUCAGAGGGGCGACAGCACAAUGGAAGGUAGUGCCCUGCAGGCUGAGUGGGGAAUGACUCCAGCUCUCAGGCUCCCCUGUGUCCCACUCUGAGAUGGCAGCUGAGUUUCUACCCUCGUCCCAGCUCUGUUGCCAGCCGUCUGCUCUCACCUUGCCUUCCAUUAUGGUCACCACGUCAGGAACAGAGCAUCCUUGGAAUCACUAAGGCACUUAUGGACCCUGUAUGUGGCCGGAAUGAACCCAAGUCAGAGCCCUGCCCCCCAUCAGAAGUGAUGUUAGCAAGCUAUGGGUCUUACUUGAGCUGCUGGAACUCAGCAAACGCUUCAUCAAAAGCUGCAAGGAAACAUUCCAUAUGUCAGUCAUGUUCCCAUGUGUUUAACUUCCAUCCACUCAGAUGGUCCACCAGCUAACUGACAAAAAGCAAACUGAGGGGCAAUCAAACUAAUAAACUGAUUUAUCUUAAGUCAGUCCCUCUACAUGAAA